rnacentral:lncRNA from 1 species
UCAGAUUUUGUUUUAAACUAGAGAUUUACAACCAGUAGCCACAGAUUAACAAUCAAACCAGGGGUGACAUUGCAUGCUAUCAAACAAAUUAUGUUUGAUUUUCAAUUUAUCAGAGCUGAUAGUGCAACUAUUAAACCGUUGGUUAAUUGAAGAUUAAAACAGAGUUCAGCAAUAUAGUUGUCCAUUGGUCCACCAGAAUCGUUAUAAAAGCGACCGUUCAUCAACUUCGGCCAACACACCAUUCUUCGCGUUAAACUAUCUCAUUCCAAGAACGUUCAUCAUUUUCAAGUUGUUCAUCCAUGGUUCGAAGACUCGAAACGGGAGGUUUUCAUAAUUAAAAACAUCAAUGAGAAAUAGAAAAUAGAUAAAUUAGGUCUGGUCGGUCUUUAGUUGGAAGUUUAAAAACAAACAAACAACUAUCAUAAUGUCAUUAUGAAUGAAAAUUACAAUGUACAAAAAUAAAAGAAGAUCAGCAAUUACUAGAAUUUAAAGAAACAUUGUAGACAGAACCUGGAUAUAGGAAGAUCAGCAAUUACUUGAAUAUGAAAUUAUAUCAUCAAUCAAGUAAAUUUAAACAUAAAAAAAAAUCGAUAAUGAAUUUAUUUGAUUUCCAUAGAAAUGUAAAAAUUAUAAAUAGUAAACUACCCGAUGAUAUAAAAUUCCAAAAAAAAAAAAUGAAUGAUAGUAAUAGAAGACAAUAUUAUGAAAUCAUGUAAAGCAUCAAACAAACCUGCGUAGCUUUACUUCUUCCGUGCUUCUUGGCUCACCACCACCAAAAGAGUAGCAACCAGAGAGAACUUUUGGAAUGAAUGUCCAGAAAAUUUAAUUACACAAGGAAGAGGAAUAUUAGGAAGUUAAGGCUUGUAGGGGGUUGAAGGUGGUGAAGGAUAGAAGAGGGUUAAGACAAUAGGGGGUUGAAAUUGAAGACAGUAGGAGGUAUAAUAUUAGGAAGAUGGUUGUUGUAGGGAGUUGAAGGUGGUGAAGCGUAGAAGAGUGGUAAGACAGUAGAAUGAGAAGGAAGAAGUAGAAGCUGUAGAAGUUGGAUCUUCGUUUAAUUGAGAAAGAGGUAGUAAAGAUUGGGUUUCUUAAAUAGACAAAAAAGACAUUGACAUGACUAAUCGUAGUAGCUAGCAUAGGGUGGUAGGAAGGUUUUAGUUAUAU